UCCCAAAUUGUAUAACAGUAAAGGCAGACUUUGAGAGAAACCAGAAGUCUCUUGCUCCACAGCAUAAAACUGAAAUGGCAAGGGGCCAAGUAUAAAGGGACUGGCCAGGGACAGACAUGCGCUAUGACUGGAGAACAGAUGCGGUUUCGCGGACAUGUGAAGAGACUCUAUGAGAACAACCUGCUGGAAAGGUGGUCAAAUCUAUUAAAGUCUUCAAAGAUAACCGCUGAAUGUUGCCACCAGAAGACCCAGACCACUGUGCGAGAGACUGUAACACGACAAGGCUGAAAAGGAGAUCCACUCGACUUAUUUUUCACGUAUCCCAGAGACUGCACAGAGGAUGAGGCAUGGCUUGAGGCAGAGGCGGAGGAGACUCCAGAUUCAGGUAAAUGCAGCAAUCCCGCAACCAGCAGAGGGCCAGUUGCAUAAAUGGAAACCAGGAGACUGGGUGCUGAUAUAAGUCCGCCACUUGAGACGGAGGCCCAGGGAGAGAGUGUCGCUUCCCUCACAGACGAGGAACAAAGCAGAAGAAAGACGACAGCUCUCACUGAGGUGUAAAACCAUACCAACAACCAACAGCUGUUGCAGAUAAAGGAAGAAACGGCGAGAAAGAGACAGAAGGAACUAAAAAAAAAAAAAAAAAAAAAAAAAAAAGAGAAGAAA